GUGACUUCGCGCCGCUGUGUGCGCCUCCCCGAGCGCCGGCUGCGCCCCCCAGCCCGGCCCGGGGCCUACCGCCUGCCCGGCCCCCUGCCACUGCCAGGAGGACGGCAUCAUGCUGUCUGCCGACUGCUCUUGAGCUUGGGCUGUCCGCCAUACCGGGGGACCUGGAUCCCCUGACGGCUUACCUAUUCCAUGUCAGUAGUGGCAAACCUUUACAGGAUUAUGAAUACAAAAUGCCACUGGUCUCCUGAAGAUACAGCAGCAAAAUGAAACAUCCACAAAUAUGACUUAAAUUGAGAAUAUGUGCAUGUCUAUAACUCCACCCUUCACUGUGCUGCGGUUGUUCUCUGGACCACUCCUAUUUCAUCAGUGUUAUUGUCAACCUGAAGAACAAGCAGAAAGAGGCUCUCUGAAAUGAAAUGGAUGCUUAUUUGGGAAGAGAGCAUUGCAACGGGAAUACACAUGCCAUCGUAAAUGACAAGAAUAUUCAGGGAGGACCCCAUCACAUUUGGCUGCCAUAUCUCCUUGGACUCCUCUUGGCUGUGACAGGGUCUCAGACGGCCCUUGCCGUUGAUGACCUUGAUGGUUUGAAGAGCCCUAAUCAGGUGCAUUGCAGGACGCUCCUCAGUUGGGAUUUGUCUGAGGCUUUCCUCGUAAAUAGCCUGGGGUUAUGGGUUUUGGGAGGAAGACCACACAGAUAAAUGCCAUUCUCAUCAUGUCAUAACAAGGGUACACACGCUGCUGACAUGACUCUUCACUGACAGUGGUGGCUGUAGUCGGCUGGCUGAGGUCUCCCCACUGUGAAGUCCCCCUCUCCAUGCUGUACUCUCUGGAAGGACGUCGCCAUGCACAGCCGACACUUAGGGGUAUGGGUUGUGCUCCACUUCCGAGGAGGAGAAGUAGCUACAUGAGUGACUGGGAAAUGUCCUGGGGGGGAUACUCAUCCAUGCCUCCACAUUACUUAUGUACUCAAUCUUUUAUUUAUAUUGCUAUGGACUCAUGGAUACUCAGCCCAUGCUCGGGCUGGACUCCAGUGUGACUUUGCUUCUUUUCCUGCUCAGCUUCUUCGAGGUUGGCCUUGGUGAGCUCCCGUGGUGGGUUCCCAGCUCCUGUGUGCCUCUGACAGGUGCUCAUCACUUGGCUUUUUGGGCAUCUCCUUAAUUUCUGCUACUAAAGAUGCUCCUGGCUUAUCUUCUGCAUGUCCUGCCUUUGCCCUUGAAUCAGUCAAUUCUCCAAGAAGCUCUGGCUCCUUUCCUAGAACAGUGUUAGAAACCAAGAUCUGGGCACUGGUGUGUUCAUUGCUAGUGAGGUGUUGUUGCUUCUAGACUCUCUCAGCUGAUAGAGCAAGGGAAUGUUUAAGCCAUUUAGAACAUAAAUGCAUUCAUUUAAAAACAUGGACUAUGUAUUCACUGUGCCUUGGGCCCCAAGCUGGGUGUUGAGGAUCUUGAGAAAAUAAAUCAAGGAAGCCCAUGGUCUAGGGUAGUGCUGGUGAGGAGAUAACAGACUCUUGAGAUGGCACUAGGGCCAUGGCGGAGACAGACCUGGACACUAGUGGGACCCAGCAAAGACCCACAGCAGCCUGGGGAGGCGGCUUCCAGAGUGCUGCGACUUUGGAACAUGAAUACUCCUGAGGGUUCACAAACGAGCCUGGGGGGUAUUCCAGGACCAGCUGGUAGGGGGGCAAAGGUUGGGUCAUGAACUAUGGGGAAUGCAAGAAUUGCAAGAGGUUGAACAUGCCUGGGGGUGCAGAGACAGAGGCUGAGGUGCAGGGCAGUCUGAGACAUGGUUAGGAGCCUGGGCAUUCUCUUGAGAGACAGGGGAGAAGAAAAUUCAGAUGGAGCGUUCAUUUCAGGAAGGCCACCCUGGGAUCUGGGCAGGAGAUGAAUACCUGGCAGGGUCAGGGAAGGGAAGGUAAUUGAAAGUUUACAAAAACAAAACCCCAUUCACAUUCUUAAAGUAUUCUUCAUAGAGGUACUAUUUCAAUAAACACAUGCUUUAUUUGU
rnacentral:lncRNA from 1 species